rnacentral:rRNA from 1 species
AUGGAUGCCCCCAAGAAGAACGUAUCUGAAGAUUUGCAGCCUGCUCCUAGUUUGCAAUCGCGAAAGCAUUCAAAAGCCAAGAUUAGCCUUGAAGCUUUCAUGGAUGAAGAAGACAAAGUUGUUGCUGCAGCUUGCAAGGAGAGUCUCAAGAAUGUUUCACAGCUUUAUAAAGAGGUGGAUGCAUCGCAGGGUGCUCCGAGUUUGGAUUCGCGAAAGCGUUCCAAAGCCACCACAAGCCUUCAAGCUUUCCUGGAUCCUCUGAAUUGGAGGCACAAUGAGAAUGUGCGAAAGACUCAAGAAAGAAGAAAUCAAGAUGAUGAAGAUGUCAGUAUUGAGGUGGGUGCAGAGGUAGGUACCAAAAGCAACCACCAGUCUGCCAAGGCUAAGGGAAUAAGGGAGCCGGAAGAGCCCCAUGUCUUCCCAGUUGAUGAGGACAACUAUGAUGGUUCUUUAGCAAAGCAGCGAUAA